rnacentral:rRNA from 1 species
AUACCGNAUAGUCCCCGCAAGGGUAAAGCUUUCCNCGGUAUGGNAAGGGGCNUGCGGUCCAUCAGCUUAGUUGGUAAGGUACCGGGCUUACCAAGGCUAUGACGGAUAGCUGGUGUGAGAGCAUGACCAGCCAGAAUGGAACUUGAGACACGGUCCAUACUCCUACGGGAGGCAGCAGUAAGGAAUCUUCCGCAAUGGGCGAAAGCCUGACGGAGCGACACCGCGUGAAGGAUGACACCCCUCGGGGCGUAAACUUCUUUUCUGAGUGAAUAAAUUUUGAAGUUAACUCAGGAAUAAGCGACGGCUAACUACGUGCCAGCAGCCGCGGUAAUACGUAGGUCGCAAGCGUUAACCGGAAUUAUUGGGCGUAAAGGGUCCGCAGCCGGAAAAAUAAGUCUGAUGUUAAAAUACGGAGCUCAACUCCGUACUCGUAUCGGAAACUGUUUUUCUAGAGUAAUUGAGAGGUGUGUGGAAUUUCUGGUGUAGGAGUAAAAUCCGUAGAUACCAGAAGGAACNCCNAAAGCGAAGGCAGCGCACUGGCAAUUUACUGACGGUCAGGGACGAAAGCGUGGGUAGCGAAAAGGAUUAGAUACCCUGGUA